GAGGCCAGAGAGAGGGGCAUCAGUACCCGGAGCUGCGCGAGGUCAUGACCAGGAUUACAGCAAAGCCUACUUCUAGGGACCUCCAGACAGACCUGGCGGUAGCCAUGAACUUGACCCCGUGCUCCUCCUCCCGCCUGCAUCGCCCCAGCUCCGGUUGACCUGGCUUGUACCUGUUGGUGGAGAUCUUAGAGAAGAGUGGAGAUAAAAAAUUGAUGAAAUCCGCCACAGCUGGCUGGGUGUGAACCUGGAUUCUCCGGAGGACCCCCACCCCCACCCCAGGAAAGUAAGCGCCUGUCACGUGUAUCAGAAGACCC